AAGGGAAUGAAGUUCUCCCGUAGCGCGAUCGCUAAAACCGCUUUGUAAGCUGAUGACUUCUGCAUU
rnacentral:ncRNA from 1 species